GCUGAGGACUCUGGCGGUACUGCCAUCGUAAGAUGUGAGGAAGGUGGGGAUGACGUCAAAUCAGCACGGCCCUUACGUCCGGGGCUACACACGUGUUACAAUGGGGGGUACAGAAGGCAGCUUGCCGGCGACGGCUGGCCAAUCCCUAAAGCCCCUCUCAGUUCGGACUGGAGUCUGCAACCCGACUCCACGAAGCUGGAUUCGCUAGUAAUCGCGCAUCAGCCACGGCGCGGUGAAUACGUUCCCGGGCCUUGUACACACC
rnacentral:rRNA from 1 species